AGGUAGAUGCACCCUGGUUUUCCCUCGCCGCGCUUAAAAAGAGCGGUGGGGGUCUUUUUU
rnacentral:sRNA from 1 species